rnacentral:tRNA from 1 species
GGAUAGCUCAGUGGUAGAGUACAUGCUUAGCAUGCACGAGGCCCUGGGUUCAAGCCCCAGGACUUCCA